rnacentral:rRNA from 1 species
UACGUAGGGGGCUAGCGUUGUCCGGAUUUAUUGGGCGUAAAGAGCGUGUAGGCGGCCAGAUAGGUCUGCUGUGAAAACUCGAGGCUUAACCUCGAGAUGUCAUCGGAAACCAUCUGGCUAGAGUCCGGAAGAGGAGAGUGGAAUUCCUGGUGUAGCGGUGAAAUGCGCAGAUAUCAGGAAGAACACCCGUGGCUAAGGCGGCUCUCUAGUACGGUACUGACGCUGAGACGCGAAAGCGUGGGGAGCGAACAGG